UAGUCAAGUAUAAUAGACUUUUUUUUGCUUUUAUCAAACAAUAUUUUACUUAUCCCCGGCUACUGAGGUUUCGUUUGAGAUUGCGGGGAGGUUUCCUUACGUAAAAUUGCGCUCCAUAUAUCGUGAUUAGUCAUAUAUUUUCUGCGAUUCUAUCGGAGAACGUAAAGGCGUAUCUUUAUAUAUUUUUACCCAACUCUAAUUUAUCUAAUAACGUUAGAUGGAUCUUAAUGCCAAAAAUACCAAACUAAGCCUAAAAAGUCUACAAUAUAUAUUAUUUAUAUCUUUAGAAAUACUAGUUGAGUAUAUGUGCAAAUACACGUAACAAUUAUUUUAAUUUAUUUUAAAUCAAUAUAAAUUUGUAAUUAUAUUUAUUUAAAAAUUUAUAAUAAAAAUUAUAUUUUAUAAAUUCAUAUGUUAUAUUUUAUUAGAAAAUAUUUGUAAUAUUCUAUCUUUUUUUAUAUACAUUAAAUAUUUUUAUAUAUUUUUUGAUUUCUGAUGGUCUAAAAUUUAAGUGCGCGUUUUAAACAAAAAGCAUCAAAAUUAAAUUCAUAUUAAUUUCAAAUUUUAAAAUUUAAUUUUGAUCCACUAUAGUUAAAAAUUUUUAAUUGUUAAUUCAAAUUUGAUAUCAAAAAUUAAAUUUAAUUCACGAUUUAAACUCAAAUUUAAAUUUUAAUGUGAAAUAAAUGUAUAGGAAUACUAUAUUUUAACAGAUUGAUAAUAACCAUUUGUUUUAUUUGAAAUAUUUUUAACGAAUUGAUCAUAAGUUCGUAGAAUUAGAUUUAUAGAUGGAUAUAAAUGCUAUUUUUUAAUAAAUUGAUCAGAACCGAUCGUUCGUUUUUAUUUGAUAUAUUUUUUAAUAAACUGAUUAUAACUAUUCAUAUGGAAUAUUUUUUUUUUUUUAUUUCAUUUGUCAUUGUAGAAAUUUCUAUACGAUUUUAUAUAUAGUAGAGAUAUAAUAGUUCAACUCCUACUAUAUAUAGAGAGAGACGACUAUAAUGGUAUUAAUAGUACAAAGCACUUGGUGCUAUUUUUUUCGCUAUUAAAUCUACUUUCUUAAUCAUUGCCAUCUCUUGGAUCAUAAUAUUCUACCAACUACCCACUAAUANAUAUAUAUAUAUAAUAAUUGGACCAGAAUACUAUUAAUAAUAUUUGGAUUUUUUUACUCUUGAAUUUUUAAUCUUUAAAUAAAAAUUAUAGGGUUUAGAAUGCUACUGGUCUAUUGUACUUAUACGUAUAAUAGCUAGUAUACUCUUAUGAGUAUAGAACCUUUUGUACUUAUAAGUUUUCGGCCGUUGGAUAAAGAAAUAUGCGGUUAUGAUGAUAAUGAUCUUCUGUUAGGAUGAUGGUGGUUCGCUAGGAUUUAGUGCGUAGUUGGUUGAAUAGUACGAUCUAACGGAUGAAAAUGCUCAAAAGAGUAGAUUUAAUCUAAUGGUCGAAAAUUCAUGAGUACAAAGAAAUCUAUCCUCAUAAGUAUAAUUCCCGGACUCCGGAUAAUAAAUAUUGAGCUAGACCGGUGAACUAAUAUGUGCUUAAGACCAUACUAUUAUACUUCUCUAGAAG
rnacentral:lncRNA from 1 species